GAUGAACGCUAGCUACAGGCUUAACACAUGCAAGUCGCGGGGCAGCAUGGGGGUUGCUUGCAAUCCCCGAUGGCGACCGGCGCACGGGUGAGUAACGAGUAUCCAACCUGCCCUUCACCACGGGAUAACCCGGCGAAAGUCGGACUAAUACCGUAUGUUGUCCAUUGACGGCAUCCGAUUUGGACGAAAGGUUUGGCGGUGAAGGAUGGGGAUGCGUCCGAUUAGCUGGAUGGCGGGGUGACGGCCGACCGUGGCGACGAUCGGUAGGGGUUCUGAGAGGAAGGUCCCCCACACUGGAACUGAGACACGGUCCAGACUACUACGGGAGGCAGCAGUGAGGAAUAUUGGUCAAUGGGCGUAAGCCUGAACCAGCCAAGUAGCGUGCAGGAUGACGGCCCUAUGGGUUGUAAACUGCUUUUAUGCGGGGAUAAAGUGGCCCACGUGUGGGUUUUUGCAGGUACCGCAUGAAUAAGGACCGGCUAAUUCCGUG
rnacentral:rRNA from 1 species